GGAUUAGAUACCCUGGUAGUCCAUGCUGUAAACGAUGUGUGCUAGACGUUGGAAAUUUAUUUUCAGUGUCGCAGCAAAAGCGUUAAGCACACCGCCUGGGGAGUACGACCGCAAGGUUAAAACUCAAAUGAAUUGACGGGGACCCGCACAAGUAGUGGAGCAUGUGGUUUAAUUCGAAGAUACGCGCAGAACCUUACCAACACUUGACAUGUUUGUCGCGACUCUAAGAGAUUAGAGUCUUCGGUUCGGCCGGACAAAACACAGGUGCUGCAUGGCUGUCGUCAGCUCGUGCCG
rnacentral:rRNA from 1 species